rfam:Gossypium arboreum cultivar AKA8401 contig_1034_5, whole genome shotgun sequence.
UGCUAAAUUUUUUAUCCAUUUGUACUGUUAACAAUUGGCAUGGUUGACGGAAUAACCAAACAGUAACAUUUGACAUGCCACAUGUACCUCAUAGUAACAUGCAUGAACUAAUUUUUAACAGUAAAAAAUGGAUGAAAUUUUUAACA